rnacentral:rRNA from 1 species
UGGGGAAUUUUGCACAAUGGGGGAAACCCUGAUGCAGCGACGCCGCGUGAUUUAGAAGGCCUUCGGGUUGUAAAAAUCUUUUUUACGGGAUGAAAAUGACAGUACCGUAAGAAUAAGGUCCGGCUAAAUACGUGCCAGCAGCCGCGGUAAUACGUAUGGACCGAGCGUUGUCCGGAAUCAUUGGGCGUAAAGGGUACGUAGGCGGCAUAGUAAGUAAGAAGUGAAAUAAUAUAGCUCAACAAUAGAAAGCUUUUAAAACUGCUAGGCUUGAGAGAUGGAAAGGAAAGUGGAAUUCCUAGUGUAGCGGUGAAAUGCGCAGAUAUUAGGAAGAAUACCGGUGGCGAAGACGACUUUCUGGUCAUCAUCAGACGCUGAGGUACGAAAGAGUGGGUAGCAAACAGG